rnacentral:lncRNA from 1 species
UUAAGUAAAUUUAAUUCCUCAUGAAAUACUUUAGUAGAUUCCUAUUCGUUAUGGCCUUGGAGGGAGUUCAGCCUACGGAUCUGGGAGACAAUGUGAGUUUGUCUAGAAUAAGUGGAUGGCAACGAAUAGAAUUCAAUCCGAUUGAACUCGACUGACGGGACUGAUAGCCAACUAGUUGGUCAUUUUGGAUGUCAGGAACGGUGUUAUUUUUAGAAAGGCUCGGUCAGAUUCCUUGUCAGUGGUCAAUAAGAUCUGACAGUUGACUACCCUGUGGGAGCAACUUCUCUCGGCAAAGCAGUAAAUACUGUAAACUGUAAAAUGUAAACUUUGUUUUUUUUUCAUUUUUGAUCAAGGUCUACUACUAUCUCAUCCCUGCAGUUCAGUUCAUCCUUCUAAUAAAUGAAAUAGGUAGCGUUCUAUUUUUUUCAUAAAAAAAAAUGAGCUAAAAAUAUCCGCCCUCGCAUCAAUAUCAUUGUCCCCAGCGUCGACAUCGAGUUACUCAUCUGCGACACUGCAGAAGUACUGCAG